UGAGGAAUAUUGCACAAUGGGGGAAACCCUGAUGCAGCGACGCCGCGUGGGUGAUGAAGGUUUUCGGAUCGUAAAGCCCUUUUCUGCAUGACGAGCAAAGGACGGUAGUGCAGGAAUAAGUGUCGGCUAACUACGUGCCAGCAGCCGCGGUAAAACGUAGGACACAAGCGUUAUCCGGAAUUACUGGGCGUAAAGGGAGUGCAGGCGGUUGAAUAAGUUAGGCGUGAAAGACUUCGGCUAAACCGGGGGAGGUCGUCUGAUACUGUUCAACUAGAGUAUGGUAGAGGCGUGUAGAAUUCCGGGUGUAGUGGUGAAAUGCGUAGAGAUCCGGAGGAAUACCAGUGGCGAAGGCGGCACGCUGGGCCAUAACUGACGCUAAGACUCGAAAGCAUGGGUAGCGAA
rnacentral:rRNA from 1 species